GACGAACGCUGGCGGCGUGCUUAACACAUGCAAGUCGAACGGCAAGGCCCUGCUUUUGUGGGGUGCUCGAGUGGCGAACGGGUGAGUAACACGUGAGUAACCUGCCCUUGACUUUGGGAUAACUUCAGGAAACUGGGGCUAAUACCGGAUAGGAGCUCCUGCUGCAUUGUGGGGGUGGGAAAGUUUCGGCGGUUGGGGAUGGACUCGCGGCUUGUCAGCUUGUUGGAGGGGGAGUGGCUUACCAAGGCAUUGCCGGGUAGCCGGCCUGAGAGGGUGACCGGCCACAUUGGGACUGAGAUGAGGCCCAGACUCCUACGGGAGGCAACAGUGGGGUAUAGUACAUAAGGGGCGGAAGCCUGGUGUAGCAACGCCACGUGGGGGAUGACGGCCUUCGGUUUGUAAACCGCUUUCGCCUGUGACGAAGCGUGAGUGACGGUAAUGGGUAAAGAAGCACCGGCUAACUACGUG
rnacentral:rRNA from 1 species